rnacentral:tRNA from 1 species
CUGGUCGAUGCCCUGGACGGGUCGCGUGCGCUGCUGGCGCCCGUUGGCGGCGCGGCCGUUCAGGCCGCCCUUGACCAGG